GUGGGCGUCUUCUAAUGGUUAGGAAAUCUCGUUGUGGCCGUGAAAAUGUCGGUUCGAUUCCGGCCGCCCACA
rnacentral:tRNA from 4 species